UACCCAUGGUGAAGACGCAUACUAAACAACUCAUUAAAUCUCUCCCAAGGCUGAUAUAAAGUCUCACUUUCCUUUUGUGCAAAGGUAGAGAUUUGCCUUUUUAAUGCG